CGGCAGUGGACUCCUGUCCGUCUUGGCGUAGGAGAUUCCGGCCUCCGUUUUGGUCACCUUCACCUCGGUUUCAGACGCAGGUGAUGGAUUAAGACACAAAUGUUGGGCCACAGGACUGAGGGCAUUCCUUUCCAACAGCUUGAGCUUCCCGGAGAGUCCACCGAAGGCUUUUGUUUGAUCCACUUGCACAUCCAGAAAGGAGCAGCAGGCUGUUCAACCUGCUCUCUAUGGAGGAUGACCAAGUCAGAAACACCUGUCAUUUGAAGCAACUUCCAAACUUGAUCAGGCAGCCACAUCUGGAGAAAACUUCAGCAGCUCCAAGGAGAAGGGGGAGGACCCGGCAUUAGAUGGAAGCCACUGCCCAGCUCGCUGCAUAACUGUGGUUUACUUCAUGCCACGAGAGUCACCUGAGUCUAACACCACCUCGAACAGCAGCCUCAUUCCACUCACGCUGACACCUUCCACGUUCAAGAGCCACAGCCUCUAUGCUCCUCAAGAGCUCCAGCCAUGCCACUCACCAAGAAUUCCAGCCUCGCCUCUCUCAAGAACCACAGCCAUGCUCCUCGUCUUGAGCGCCAGCCACGCUCUGCGCCAGUAAAAUAAAUCAUCUUACUUACCAA